rnacentral:rRNA from 1 species
GACGAACGCUGGCGGCGUGCUUAACACAUGCAAGUCGAACGAAGUGGCGAACGGGUGAGUAACGCGUAAUCAACCUGCCCUUCAGAGGGGGAUAACAGUUGGAAACGACUGCUAAUACCGCAUACUGAAGGAGGGGUUUGCGUCUGAUUGGCUAGCUGGAGGGGUAACGGCCGACCAAGGCGAUGAUCAGUAGCCGGUUUGAGAGGGUGAACGGGCAAAAUGGGACUGAGACACGGCCCAGACUGCGACGGGAGGCAGCAGGGGGGAAGCUUCCGCAAUGGACGAAAGUCUGACGGAGCAACGCCGGGUGAGUGAUGACGGCCUUCGGGUUGGAAAGCUCUGUUAAGCGGGGCGCGUUACCGGAAUAGAAAGCCACGGCUAACUACGUGCCAGCAGCCGCGGUAAUUC